rnacentral:tRNA from 1 species
AGUUAAUAAGCUUAAGAUAAGCAUUUAUUUUGAAAAUAAAACAAGAUGGUUAAAUCCCAUCAUUAACUU